GACGAACGCUGGCGGCGUGCUUAACACAUGCAAGUCGAACGGAAAGGCCCUGCUUUUGUGGGGUGCUCGAGUGGCGAACGGGUGAGUGACACGUGAGUAACCUGCCCUUGACUUUGGGAUAACUUCAGGAAACUGGGGCUAAUACCGGAUAGGAGCUCCCGCUGCAUGGUGGGGGUUGGAAAGUUUCGGCGGUUGGGGAUGGACUCGCGGCUUAUCAGCUUGUUGGUGGGGUAGUGGCUUACCAAGGCUUUGACGGGUAGCCGGCCUGAGAGGGUGACCGGCCACAUUGGGACUGAGAUACGGCCCAGACUCCUACGGGAGGCAGCAGUGGGGAAUAUUGCACAAUGGGCGGAAGCCUGAUGCAGCAACGCCGCGUGCGGGAUGACGGCCUUCGGGUUGUAAACCGCUUUCGCCUGUGACGAAGCGUGAGUGACGGUAAUGGGUAAAGAAGCACCGGCUAACUACGUG
rnacentral:rRNA from 1 species